AGUGGGGAAUUUUCCGCAAUGGGCGAAAGCCUGACGGAGCAAUACCGCGUGAGGGAGGAAGGCUCUUGGGUCGUAAACCUCUUUUCUCAGGGAAGAACAAAAUGACGGUACCUGAGGAAUCAGCAUCGGCUAACUCCGUGCCAGCAGCCGCGGUAAUACGGAGGAUGCAAGCGUUAUCCGGAAUGAUUGGGCGUAAAGCGUCCGCAGGUGGCACAUCAAGUCUGCUGUCAAAGCCCCCAGCUUAACUGGGAAGAGGCGGUGGAAACUGGUGAGCUAGAGAGCAAUAGGGGUAGAGGGAAUUCCCGGUGUAGCGGUGAAAUGCGUAGAGAUCGGGAAGAACACCAGUGGCGAAAGCGCUCUACUAGGUUGCAACUGACACUGAGGGACGAAAGCUAGGGGAGCGAAUGGGAUUAGAUACCCCAGUAGUCCUAGCCGUAAACGAUGGAUACUAGGCGUUUCUCGUAUCGAC
rnacentral:rRNA from 1 species